ACAACAAAUAUACUGUACAGAAUUUAUCAGAACUAUAAAUUAUUUUAAGUUAAUCAAUUUAAUUUUUUUUUAAAAUUUGCUUCACCUCAAAUUUUGAAUUCGUCGUGUAUCUUUACAGGUUUCGCAACCGGCCAUCAAUUCAUUAGCUUAAAAUUUAAAGCUAAAAUAAUAUUGACGGACUCAAAUCAAGCAAAUUAAUAGAUUAAGUAGUUCGGAUUGCUCAGUAUAUGCAUGUG
rnacentral:lncRNA from 1 species